rnacentral:rRNA from 1 species
UGAGUAACCUGCCCUUAACUCUGGGAUAAGCCUGGGAAACUGGGUCUAAUACUGGAUAUGACUCCUCAUCGCAUGGUGGGGGGUGGAAAGCUUUUUUGUGGUUUUGGAUGGACUCGCGGCCUAUCAGCUUGUUGGUGAGGUAAUGGCUCACCAAGGCGACGACGGGUAGCCGGCCUGAGAGGGUGACCGGCCACACUGGGACUGAGACACGGCCCAGACUCCUACGGGAGCAG